UCAAGUUAUUAAGGGUGCAGGGCGGAUGCCUUGGCACUAGGAGCCGAUGAAGGACGUGAUAAGCUGCGAUAAGCUUCGGGGAGUUGCACGUAAACUUUGAUCCGAAGAUUUCCGAAUGAGGAAACUCACUUAGAGUAAUGUCUAAGUAUCAUUAAGUGAAUACAUAGCUUAAUGAGGGGAACUCAGGGAACUGAAACAUCUAAGUACCUGAAGGAAGAGAAAGAAAUUCGAUUCCGUAAGUAGCGGCGAGCGAACGCGGAUUAGCCCAAACCAAUAAAGUUUUCUUUAUUGGGGUUGCGGACAUAUCAUAACGAAGAGGUAUCGUAAUUGAAGAGGUUUGGAAAGACCCACCACAGAAGGUAAUAGUCCUGUAUGUUAAACGAGAAGACUUCAGAUAUGAUCCAGAGUACCACGGGACACGUGAAACCCUGUGGGAAGCAGGAGGGACCACCCUCCAAGGCUAAAUACUACCUAGUGACCGAUAGCGUAUAGUACCGUGAGGGAAAGGUGAAAAGAACCCCGGGAGGGGAGUGAAAUAGAACCUGAAACCCUGCACUUACAAGCUGUGGAAGCACAUUUCUUGUGUGACCGCGUACUUUUUGUAGAACGGGCCAACGAGUUACGUUAAGUAGCAAGGUUAAGCACUUAAGGUGCGGAGCCGUAGCGAAAGCGAGUUUUAACUGAGCGUUCAGUUACUUGACGUAGACCCGAAACCGGGCGACCUACCCAUGAGCAGGAUGAAGCGAAAGUAAAAUUUCGUGGAGGUCCGAACCCACGAGCGUUGAAAAGCUCGGGGAUGACUUGUGGGUAGCGGUGAAAUUCCAAUCGAGCCCGGAGAUAGCUGGUUCUCCCCGAAAUAGCUUUAGGGCUAGCCUCAAGGUGAGAGAUACGGAGGUAGAGCACUGAAUGUCCUAGGGGGUAUUGCACCUACCGAAGACUAUCAAACUCCGAAUGCCGUCAUCUUAUACUUGGGAGUCAGACUGUGGGUGAUAAGAUUCAUAGUCGAAAGGGCAACAGCCCAGAUCGUCAGCUAAGGUCCCUAAAUGUAAGUUAAGUGGUAAAGGAUGUGGGAUUGCACAGACAACCAGGAUGUUGGCUUAGAAGCAGCCACUCAUUCAAAGAGUGCGUAAUAGCUCACUGGUCGAGUGAUCCUGCGCCGAAGAUUUCCGGGGCUAAAACUUACUACCGAAGCUACGGCAUCAGUAAUGAUGGGUAGGGGAGCUUCCCAUACGGGUUGAAGCAUGACCGUAAGGACAUGUGGACAGUAUGGGAGUGAGAAUGUUGGCAUGAGUAGCGAGAUGUGGGUGAGAAUCCCACAGGCCGUAAACCCAAGGUUUCCAGGGGAAGGUUCGUCCGCCCUGGGUUAGUCGGGACCUAAGCUGAGGCCGAAAGGCGUAGGUGAUGGACAACAGGUUGAUAUUCCUGUACUACCGAUAACCGUUUGAGAGAAGGGAUGACACAGUAGGAUAAGCUAAGCACACUGUUGGUUAUGUGUGCCCAAGCAUUGAGGCAGUCAAAGUAGGCAAAUCCGCUUUGAUAAUGCUGGGAUGUGAUGGGGAGCGAAAUUUAGUAGCGAAGUAGCUGAUUUCACACUGUCAAGAAAAGUCUCUAUCGAGGUUAAAGGUACCCGUACCGCAAACCGACACAGGUGGGUGAGGAGAGUAUCCUAAGGCCAGCGAGAGAACUGUUGUUAAGGAACUCGGCAAAAUGACCCCGUAACUUAGGGAUAAGGGGUGCCACCAUCAGGUGGCCGCAGAGAAUAGGCCCAAGCGACUGUUUACCAAAAACAUAGGUUUCUGCUAAGUCGCAAGACGAUGUAUAGGAGCUGACGCCUGCCCGGUGCUGGAAGGUUAAGGGGAUCUGUUAGAGCAAUCGAAGCAGUGAACUUAAGCCCCAGUAAACGGCGGCCGUAACUAUAACGGUCCUAAGGUAGCGAAAUUCCUUGUCGGGUAAGUUCCGACCCGCACGAAAGGCGUAACGAUUUGGGCACUGUCUCAACAACAGACUCGGUGAAAUUGUAAUUCCGGUGAAGAUGCCGGAUACCUGCGACAGGACGGAAAGACCCCAUGGAGCUUUACUGUAGCUUGACAUUGGGUCUUGGUACUACAUGUACAGGAUAGGUGGGAGGCUUUGAAACCAGGACGCCAGUUUUGGCGGAGCCAUCCUUGGGAUACCACCCUUGUAGUACUGGGACUCUAACCAUAGGCCAUGAAUCUGGUCUUGGGACACUGUCAGGUGGGCAGUUUGACUGGGGCGGUCGCCUCCCAAAAGGUAACGGAGGCGCUCAAAGGUUCUCUCAGUACGGUCGGAAAUCGUACGUAGAGUGUAAAGGCAAAAGAGAGCUUGAUUGCAAGACAUACAGGUCGAGCAAGGAUGAAAAUCGGACUUAGUGAUCCGGUGGUUCUGCGUGGAAGGGCCAUCGCUCAACGGAUAAAAGCUACCCUGGGGAUAACAGGCUUAUCUCCCCCAAGAGUCCACAUCGACGGGGAGGUUUGGCACCUCGAUGUCGGCUCAUCACAUCCUGGGGCUGUAGUAGGUCCCAAGGGUUGGGCUGUUCGCCCAUUAAAGUGGUACGCGAGCUGGGUUCAGAACGUCGUGAGACAGUUCGGUCCCUAUCCGUCGCAGGCGUAGGAAAUUUGAGAAGACCUGUCCUUAGUACGAGAGGACCGGGAUGGACGUACCUCUGGUGUACCAGUUGUCCUGCCAAGGGCAUGGCUGGGUAGCUAUGUACGGAAUGGAUAAGCGCUGAAAGCAUCUAAGCGCGAAGCCAACUUCAAGAUAAGAUUUCCCACCGCAAGGGUAAGACCCCAGAAAGACUAUCUGGUUGAUAGGUCGAAGGUGUAAGUGCAGUAAUGUAUUUAGCUUAUCGAUACUAAUAGGUCGAGGACUUGACCAA
rnacentral:rRNA from 1 species